rnacentral:rRNA from 1 species
UACGUAGGUGACCAGCGUUGUCCGGAUUUACUGGGCGUAAAGAGCGCGCAGGCGGUCGUUCAAGUCGAGUGUGAAAGCCCCCCGGCUCAACUGGGGAGGGUCACGCGAUACUGUUCGACUCGAAGGCAGGAGAGGGAAGCAGAAUUCCCGGUGUAGUGGUGAAAUGCGUAGAUAUCUGGAGGAACACCGGUGGCGAAGGCGGCAUCCUGGACCGGCAUUGACGCUGAGGCGCGAAAGCCAGGGGAGCAAACGGG